AACCCACUUACACCUACAGCACUCAACUUUGGGGGCACAAAUUCAUGAAAAAGCCAUUUGCCUGGGGCUUUGCAUCCACUGGUUCAGGCCAGAGCGACAUGCCACCAGAGUCACUACUCCGUGGGCUAAGUAAGGAGUUGGCUGAAGUCAGCAAGAGUCAGCAGCUUUCGCACGCUGCUCCAUGCAGACGGCUGCCUCUGUGACUCCUUCCCUCUCCCGGUGGAUUAUGGCUUUCCCUGGACCCCAUCCUUGAGCUGCUGCCACACUAGGUAGCUGCCUCUCUUCACAGGCAUCUGAAUGGUCAUUGUCAGCAGAUUUGCCAUGAACUCAAUAAAAAUGGAAAGUGAUGCAAUCAAACAUCCAUGAGGAUUGAAGCCAAGGAAGGCUUCUCUGUGAUGGCCAGAAGACAAACCCAUUGGAAUUACAUCACAUGCCUCAUAUGAAGCCCAUGUAGAUAGACAUCAGACACACUUCACCCUGUCUGAGAAUUCUUCCCCCACUUCAAACUGUGACACAGCCAAGGCCCUGAAAGACAUGCUCAACCAAGGCAAACAGCUUUCACUGCAGGAACUGUAUUUGCCAAACUUGCUGUGAUUUAAGAGGAUUUUCAAUUGUUUAGCCCUGCCCAGAGACAAGAUCCAUGUAUCUCAAGACUCAGCGACUGGUCCAGGAGUGAACUUGUAACUCUAGCAAGGCCAACCAGUGUCUUUUAAGGAAAAGACAUAAAUACAGGACAUUCUUUCCUUUUCUGAGAAUAAGGAAAAUAUGGGUGUAUGGCAUUGACAACAGCCAAAAAAAAAAAAAAAAAAACCUGCCAAUGACAGGUCUUAGAACAUAUCGAUUAACCAGACAGGCCUACACCUGACCAUCCACUGACUGGAUUGCCAAAAUGCGUAAAUAAGACUUGUGUCACCUGUUGCAUAGGAGUUUGGAGACCAUUGAGUAGCAGUCUGUCUAAGAGUUCAAUCAGUCAACUGGAAUGCUUCCUUGACAGACAACUUUCCUGAAAUAGAAGACUAAUUCACAUAGUGGGAUCCCACUGUCUCCUGACCAACCUCAAGCAAGACUAGCUUCAGAGAAGGAGCUCUACUUUAGACACCUGGCCGAUUCAAGAUCUUCCCCACACAGUUUUUUGUCUGACAAUCGCAGGGCAACUUCAAGAGAAAACAGUGGAAAACAGUGAAGAUGUCGGGGAGAGAUAUAAGGGAUGGAGAGGUUUCAAAAACUUCUUUCAGUCGGGCGGUGGUGGCGCACGCCUUUAAUCCCAGCACUCGGGAGGCAGAGCCAGGCGGAUCUCUGUGAGU